UCGGAGAGGGCGCCUGAGAAACGGCUACCACAUCUAAGGAAUGCAGCAGGCGCGUAAAUUACCCAAUCCUGACUCAGGGAGGUAGUGACAAGAAAUAGCAAACCGGGAGCCUCAUGGUUUCACGGUAUUGCAAUGAGAACAAUUUAAAACUCUUAGCAAGGAACAAGUGGAGGACGAGUCUGGUGCCAGCACCCGCGGUAAUUCCAGCUCCACUAGCGUAUAUUAAAGUUGUUGCAGUUAAAAAGCUCGUAGUUGAACUUCUGUAUGGGGCUAGUUUUGGCUUCUGCCUGGCUAGUCCUAUGCAUCCUCUUGCAAGACCUGGAGGGCAUUUACUUGUCGCCAGGAGGAGCAGGCUUUUUACUUUGAAAAAAUUAGAGUGUUUAAGGCAGGCUAUCGCCCGCAUAUAUUAGCAUGGAAUAAUAGAAUAGGACACUUUUCCAUUUCGUUGGUUAUUGGAAUCGUGUAAUGAUUAAUAGGGACAGUUGUGGGCAUUUGUAUUUAAUUGUCAGAGGUGAAAUUCUUGGAUUUAUUAAAGACAAACUAACGCGAAAGCAUUUGCCAAGGAUGUUUUCAUUAAUCAAGAACGAAAGUUAGGGGAUCAAAGACGAUCAGAUACCGUCCUAGUCUUAACUAUAAACUAUUCCGACUCAAUGUUUGGCUGGCCCCUUUAACCAGCUGAGCGUUGUAUGAGAAAUCAAAGUCUUUAGGUUCUGGGGGGAGUAUGGUUGCAAAGCUGAAACUUAAAGGAAUUGACGGAAGAGCACAACCAGGAGUGGAUUCUGCGGCUUAAUUUGACUCAACACUGGGAAACUUACCAGGUUAAAACAAUAGUGGGAUUGACAGCUUGAGAGCGCUUUCUUGAUUGGUUGGGUGGUGGUGCAUGGCCGUUCUUAGUUGGUGGAGUGAUUUGUCUGCUUAAUUGCGUUAACGAACGAGACCUUAACCUGCUUACUAGACUGGCGAUGAAUAAUCGUCAGCUCUUCUUAGAGGGACUUUGGUUGUUUUAACUCCAAGGAAGUUUGAGGCAAUAACAGGUCUGUGAUGCCCUUAGAUAUCCUGGACCGCACGCGUCAUACAAUGACUAGUUCAGAAAGUUUCAUCCUGACCCGGAAGGGGCUGGGUAAUCUUGUCAGUACUAGUCGUAUUAGGGAUAGAUCUUUGCAAUUAUAGAUCUUGAACGAGGAAUUCCUAGUAAGUGCGGUUCAUCAGACCGUACUGAUUACGUCCCUGCUCUUUGUACACACCGCCCGUCGCUUCUACCGAGUGAGUGGUCCGGUGAGAUACUUGGAUCAAACGGGGCAACCCGAUUUGAGAAGAAUAUCAAACCUAUCCACUUCGAGGAAGAAGAAGUCGUAACAAGGUAGCCGUA
rnacentral:rRNA from 1 species